AGGGGAGUGAAAAAGAACCUGAAACCGUGUACGUACAAGCAGUGGGAGCCCCACCACCAAAGCAUUCUCUGGUGUUGAAGGCCCUGCAAAGCAGCAUCGCGGUGGCGGAGCGUCGUUUGCGACGCCCAACACACAAAACAAGCGGUGAAUGCUUUGGGGUGGGGUGACUGCGUACCUUUUGUAUAAUGGGUCAGCGACUUAUAUUCUGUAGCAAGGUUAACCGAAUAGGGGAGCCGGAGGGAAACCGAGUCUUAAU
rnacentral:rRNA from 2 species